CAAAAACCUAAACUGUCCCACCCUCCAAAAACCUAUCCCAAAGCUAAACUUAAACAAAAACCUAAACCCUAAGGCUAAGUAGUAUUGCAUAUGGCAAUACUAAAAUAGUAUUAUUAGAAAAAGUAUGACACGUUAAAUCUUUUUUUAUGUCGAAAAAAUAUGCUCGAAUAUAUACUCAAACGAAAGAUAAGAAAUUUUGUGAUCUUAUGGUGAAUCAAAGGUCCAAAUUACUAUAACCAUAUUUCUAAGCAAAAGUUUUAUCUUUGGUUUACAACCAUAUUUAUAAGCAAAAGUUUUAGUUUUGGUUUUGGCUAUUAACUGAAAUUAAACGAACCGAACCAACCGUCAAUCUAAUAGAAUAAACCGAACAUAUUAACCAAAAACCGAUUGGUGGAUACAACAGACUAAUUGAUAUUUCAAUUUCGACUUCAGUUGAGAAUAAUAACCAAACUAACCGAACCAUGCACACUAUGGCAACGUCUGUGUUCCUCGUCGCAUCGCGCAAACACCCUUCUAGUAUUAUAUUACAUAUAAGGAGGACACAAAGGUAACUUAACAUAUUUUUAAGACAAUAGCAAUUCCAAGUUUUAAAGCAUAUGGUAAAAUCAUUAUAUAUAAGUCUAAUUUACAGCAUACUUAUGCAAUUGGUGGUUGUACUUCAAGCCUUGUUGGUUUAAUGUGCUUUAUAUAUUGUACGCUAUGAAGAAUUUGUUGUUGCUUCAUAUCAGAUUUUUAUUUCUCUUUAUUUUAUGAGGAGAGAUGUGAGAGAACGAUUAGAGGUCAGAGAGAGAGAGAAAGAGACGGUGAAGGUAGUCGGCCAUGGCCUCCGACCAACUAUAAACAGCGCCAGUGAUGAAAGAGAAGGGGUUAUCGGAAUGUCUAGACGGCGGAGGUGUCACGAUGGUAUAUGAGUGUGAGACCAGACAACAUUGGUGGAGGGGAUUUGGUUUAACACGACAAUGACGACAGUGGAGAUUAGGGUUCCGACGACUCUGUUGCCACUUUUUCAGUUAGAACAGAGACAAGCAGAGUUAGAUGGACAUCAACCACUGAGCCUGUCAUGGUUGUAUUGUUGGCUGCUUCAGAGGCGUGUCUGUGUUGGUGGCAUCUUCCCUCCAUAAAACCGUUUUCUCGUCAUAAUUUCCCUACACCUUAGUCAUUUUCCAAGAUUUUUCUCUCCAAAUUAGGUAUUGUCUGAGUUGAUUAUUUUUACAUGUUGUUGAUUGUCGUCAUUUAUUCUUCGUUCUAGGGUUUUUUUUGUGUUGCGGGGGUUUAAUUUUGUUUUUUUUUUUGGCUGAUUUCAAGUUUAAUUGAGUUUAUGUGGGACUGAUUUGGGUUUCACUUCACUUUCUGUUUUCAAGUCAACUGAGUGCUCUUUUGAAACGCUAAAUGUAGGUUGUUUCGCCACCAAAUUUGGGAUCCAUAUUGUAAGUUUCUUAUUCCUUGCUUUGUUUAGCUUUUCCUUUGAAUUUGUUAGCUACAGAUCCUUAAGAUAAUUGCAUUUUUUAGUUGGUUGUUGUUUAUUGGUGUGUUUUGAUGUUGCUCACAAGGUGUUUGAUGUUUUGCUUGAAUGAGUUUCUUAUUCCCUGAUUUGGAUGGUUGUUGUUGUUAUGAACUUGACCAAGUACUUGAUGCACACAAGGUGCUCGACAUAAUGCCCGUGUUUGGGUUGCUGCCUUGCUAGGUUAUAUGCAGUAGAAAGAUAACCGGAUUAGAAAUUAGAAGACUUGAUUCUCAAACUGUAAUAGUUGAAAAUUUUUGAUACUUGAAGCUCAGAAGUUGGAAUCUAUAACAGUAAUAGUUGAAAAAUCUUUGGUUAAUCUUGGCUUAAAAGACACGUAGUAUUAUUGAUGAAAUGAAUGUUAAAGGAGGUUCUACAAAGAAUGGCAGAAGCCGCACAAUUAGCAUAUGAAAUGUGCGGUUUUGGCCUUGUGCUUGAUGUUAGUAGCUUUGAUGAUUUGAUUGCUGAUGGAUGUUUGUAUGUCCGUUAGCUUUUUUAGAUGAAAUAGUUGAGGGUCAAAGUUGGGAUCCACGAUUGAAUUCAAAUUUGUCACUAUUGAGUUCAUAUAUAUUUUGGUUAAGUGUAUAAAAUAAGCUAUAGACAACAUGGAUUCAUCAUCGUUUAAACAACAGAUACUGUAACUUCUUGAAUGGGUAAGGCUGCUAGAUAAGCUAGGCUCUUAUUUAUUAGGCAUGGAAACAACAGUGUUAGUUAAUUUUUUUUAACGGCCAACAGAAUCAAUCUCGAGCACUCUCGGGGCACCCACUGGACCAAACGGAGUACUCCGAGAGUAACCCGAGUCCACCACCAAUUCCGAGGAAAACCCGGUAACACACCCGCCCAUAGGUACGACAGUGAAAUUACCAGUAAAACCCGUAUUGUAGUUGACAAUGGAAUUUCAUGCCAUUAGUUGAUUAUUUGUGCUCACACACAAUGUUAGUUAUAGUUGAAUUUGAUGGUGGUGUUGCUGUUUUUAAACUGGAGUACUGGACUAUAAGAAACAACCUGCACGUCUUGCAUAGUCACCCCAGUUUCACAAACAGAUUGGCGGUAUCUAGCGGUUAUGGAUGUGUGUUUGUGGUGGCUAUUGUUUUGAGAGUCGAUGACUCUUAUACACAUAGGCAUUUGUAUAUACACAUAGGCAUUUGUAUGUAAUUAACUGAAAAUACAUUGGCUCUCGAUGUGUUCCACGAGUUCGACGCCUAAAUUCAACACAUUUGUUUCGAUUUGCUUCCAUAUCCCUUCAAUCAGUUUCGUCGUAUGGAUGAUUGGAGAUUAUGGCGGUACUCUAGAAUCAAACCCUCACGCCGUCACCUCUGUAGUUCCACAACACCGUAUCAUAUGGCCGAAUAGAAUGCAACUUUGUUUUAACAGUUCGAAAUAGAAGGUCACGGGUCUUGAUAUUGAAGACAUGAAGCGUUAAAGAUAUCAUGAAAGUAAAGGGUAUCAUUGUGGACCAUAAAGUCCCUCCUAUUAAGUUUUGACAUUUGCAAUGCCUACAAAGAAACUUGGGGUGGUUAGUGACAUGUCUGAUUGUAACACAGGAUGACUCGGUGAAGGUUGAGUUUCUUCUGAUAAAUGUUGUGAGUAUGAAGAAUGAGUUAGAGAUCCUACUAAAAAGGUUGAUGGAAAAGAAUCCAAAAGACGAUGCAAUCGUUUGUGUUGUUGCGUUGUUUCAAACAGUUGUAAUAAGCAGUAAUGGAGGACUUUGAAAAUGGUUUCAGUGGACUAAAUGUGUUGACAGGAUGUUCUUUGGCUGCUGAGAAAAGGGGACCAUGGAAGAGGGAUUAUAAGUAAGCAUUACAUUUGUGAAAAGUAUGCAAUAUAUCAUCAUAGUUAGGUUAAUUGUGAAUCUUCAUUUGUGUUGAAAUGCAGUGUGUAUAAAGGAAGAAAAUGUUGUGAAUCUUCUCUGUGAAUAUGUAAGGGUGAACCCGGCCGCAACGCGACGGAUACUAUUCUAGUUUAAACUAAAUCUUCCUAUCACAUGAAAGUUCCUCGCGAUUUUUAAACAACAUAACUUUUUUAUUCAUUAAUAUUUAAAAAAAAAUAUACCAUAAAAACGAUCAUUUUAUUUUUUUUAGUUUGA